rnacentral:rRNA from 1 species
ACGAACGCUGGCGGCGUGCUUAACACAUGCAAGUCGAGCGGUAAGGCCCUUUCGGGGGUACACGAGCGGCGAACGGGUGAGUAACACGUGGGUGACCUGCCUUUAGCUCUGGGAUAAGCCUGGGAAACUGGGUCUAAUACCGGAUAUGACCCUAUGGCGCAUGUUGUGGGGUGGAAAGCCUUGUGCGGCUAGGGAUGGGCCCGCGGCCUAUCAGCUUGUUGGUGGGGUGAUGGCCUACCAAGGCGACGACGGGUAGCCGGCCUGAGAGGGCGACCGGCCACACUGGGACUGAGACACGGCCCAGACUCCUACGGGAGGCAGCAGUGGGGAAUCUUGCGCAAUGGGCGAAAGCCUGACGCAGCGACGCCGCGUGAGGGAUGACGGCCU